UUUUAUCGAAAGAGUAUUUGGAAAAAAUUAGAAGUUCUUAGACUUGAAUCAUUGAUUAAAUCGGAUUUUCGGUGUUUUUUUAGGUGUUUUAAGGAUUGAUACAAGUUCAAAUAAGGUAUGAGGUGUUAUUGGUGCUUUUGGUUGAGGUCCCAGGGGCCUCGGGAUGAUUCGGAUGGUUAACGGAGAAAAUUUUGAAGUGUUGCAGCAGCUGAU
rnacentral:lncRNA from 1 species